GACGAACGCUGGCGGCGUGCUUAACACAUGCAAGUCGAACGGAAAGGCCCUGCUUUUGUGGGGUGCUCGAGUGGCGAACGGGUGAGUAACACGUGAGUAACCUGCCCUUGACUUUGGGAUAACUUCAGGAAACUGGGGCUAAUACCGGAUAGGAGCUCCUGCUGCAUGGUGGGGGUGGGAAAGUUUCGGCGGUUGGGGAUGGACUCGCGGCUUAUCAGCUUGUUGGUGGGGUAGUGGCUUACCAAGGCUUUGACGGGUAGCCGGCCUGAGAGGGUGACCGGCAACAGUGGGACUGAGAUACGGCCCAGACUACUACGGGAGGCAGCAGUGGGGAAGAUUGCACAAUGGGCGGAAGCCUGAUGAAGCAACGCCGCGUGCGGGAUGACGGCCUUCUGGUUGUAAACCGCUUUCGCCUGUGACGAAGCGUGAGUGACGGUAAUGGGUAAAGAAGCACCGGCUAACUACGUG
rnacentral:rRNA from 1 species